AGUGAACGCUGGCGGUAGGCCUAACACAUGCAAGUCGAACGGCAGCACAGUAAGAGCUUGCUCUUACGGGUGGCGAGUGGCGGACGGGUGAGGAAUACAUCGGAAUCUACUUUUUCGUGGGGGAUAACGUAGGGAAACUUACGCUAAUACCGCAUACGACCUACGGGUGAAAGCAGGGGAUCUUCGGACCUUGCGCGAUUGAAUGAGCCGAUGUCGGAUUAGCUAGUUGGCGGGGUAAAGGCCCACCAAGGCGACGAUCCGUAGCUGGUCUGAGAGGAUGAUCAGCCACACUGGAACUGGGACACGGUCCAGACUCCUACGUGAGGCAGCAGUGGGGAAUAUUGGACAAUGGGCGCAAGCCUGAUCCAGCCAUACCGCGUGGGUGAAGAAGGCCUUCGGGUUGUAAAGCCCUUUUGUGGGGAAAGAAAAGCAGCAGGUUAAUACCCCGCUGUUCUGACGGUACCCAAAGAAUAAGCACCGGCUAACUUCGUG
rnacentral:rRNA from 1 species